UACGGAGGGUGCAAGCGUUAUCCGGAUUCACUGGGUUUAAAGGGUGCGCAGGCGGUUCGUUGUGUCGGCGGUGAAAGCCCCGGGCUUAACCUGGGAAUGGCCGUUGAAACUGGCGAACUGGAGUGUGGCAGAGGGGGGUGGAAUUCCGCGUGUAGCAGUGAAAUGCGUAGAGAUGCGGAGGAACACCGAUGGCGAAGGCAGCCCCCUGGGCUAACACUGACGCUCAGGCACGAAAGCGUGGGGAGCAAACAGG
rnacentral:rRNA from 1 species